rnacentral:lncRNA from 1 species
UACGAGCUCCAAAACCCUCAAUUCUCUUUUUUUUUUUUAAUCAAUUGCUCGAGUGCUCCUACCCAAAAAAAAAAUUGUCCAGUGCUCCUACCCGGAAAAAAAAAUUCCAGUGCUCCUUCCCGAAAAUUUAAUUAAAUAAUUUAUUUAAAUCUAAAAAAUAAACAAAACACCAUGAAAUCAAAAUGAAUUUACAUAAUUACAACCCAACCAAGGGCAUUGCACGGACCAUCCAUACCUGACCCAUAAAAUUCGAAUAUGUUCCUCCAUAACUUUCGAAAAAUUAGUAAGAGUUGGUGUAACAAUAAACAUUUGUGUUACUGUGCAACUUAAUAAAACUUCAACUAAGUCGCACUUUUAGUAACUUAAAACUUAGUAAAAAUUCAACUAAUUUUGAUUGUAUCUUUUAUAUUGGCAAUAUGUUCUUUUAUUGAAGUUAAAAUAAAUAACAUGUCAUAACUCAUAAAUUUAGUAAAAAUAGAUAAAAAUAAAUAAAUAUAAUUUUACAGAGAAAAAUUAGAGACAAUAAGUUCAACUAAUUUUGAUUGUAUCUCUUAUAUUGACAAUAUGUUCUUUUAUUGAAGUUAAAAUAAAUAACAUGUCAUAACUCAUAAAUUUAGUAAAAAUAGAGAAAAAUAAAUAAAUAUAAUUUUAUAGAGAAAAUUAGAGCCAUUACAGUAAAAUAGAUAAAA